AUGGCGACCGGCGCACGGGUGAGUAACACGUAUCCAACCUGCCUCAUACUCGGGGAUAGCCUUUCGAAAGAAAGAUUAAUACCCGAUGUUAUAGUCCUACCGCAUGAUGGGAUUAUUAAAGAAUUUCGGUAUGGGAUGGGGAUGCGUUCCAUUAGUUAGUUGACGGGGUAACGGCCCACCAAGACAACGAUGGAUAGGGGUUCUGAGAGGAAGGUCCCCCACACUGGUACUGAGACACGGACCAGACUCCUACGGGAGGCAGCAG
rnacentral:rRNA from 1 species